AACGAACGCUGGCGGCAGGCUUAACACAUGCAAGUCGAGCGCCCCGCAAGGGGAGCGGCAGACGGGUGAGUAACGCGUGGGAAUCUACCCAUCUCUACGGAAUAACGCAUGGAAACGUGUGUUAAUACCGUAUACGCCCUUCGGGAGAAAGAUUUAUCGGAGAUGGAUGAGCCCGCGUUGGAUUAGCUAGUUGGUGGGGUAAAGGCCUACCAAGGCGACGAUCCAUAGCUGGUCUGAGAGGAUGAUCAGCCACACUGGGACUGAGACACGGCCCAGACUCCUACGGGAGGCAGCAGUGGGGAAUAUUGGACAAUGGGCGCAAGCCUGAUCCAGCCAUGCCGCGUGAGUGAUGAAGGCCCUAGGGUUGUAAAGCUCUUUCACCGGUGAAGAUAAUGACGGUAACCGGAGAAGAAGCCCCGGCUAACUUCGUGCCAGCCGCCGCUGUAAUAC
rnacentral:rRNA from 1 species